UUCCCGCUGGGACAGGGCACAGCCUGACCCUGCAGAUGGCGACGGCUCCGUCUCGCAGAGCUCUGCUGCAGGCUGGAGAAUUUUAAUAAGGACGGGAAAAAAAAAAAUAGCAGGAGACAGGGAGAAAGGGAGACGUCGCAAGGAACCCGACCUUAUUUCCUCGGAGUGUGUGACUAAAUCACACAGCUAAAAAUAGGAGCGGGCUGGCUGCAUCCCACCCCUACAGCUCCACAAUCCCCUCCCGGCACUGCCUGAAAUCGGGCAGUUUUGUCUUGGGCGUUUCCUGGCCGGACUUUGGUGGCCUUGGGAGCAGCGUUCCGGCGAGCCCCGUGCGCGGCAGCUGCUGAAUUAUGAUUUAACAGGUGUAAUGUAAUAAUGGGGUAUCCUGCAGUUAUUCCAUGGGUUCAUUGCCUUCAGCCCUUCCCAAGGAGCAGGGCUUUGAGGAGGAUGCUGCUGAAGGAGCUUUAAGGCACAAAUGCUGCUGGGGAGAGAUAUGAAGGACCUUGGAAAUCAACCAAAUGAAGGCCUGUCUCCUGCAAAUUUAAUUUUAUUAAGGAAGUUUCUCAUGCUUGAGCACAGCAAUAACCAUUCCCUGCAAGUUGGAAGGCCCAGGGGAAGGUGGCUGCCUGUGGUGGGCUCCUCUCCUGCCUCCAGCUUUGUCACCCAUCUCACUGUGUCCCUCCCAUGACACCCCAAAAUCAGAGAGACACACACACACAUGGGGGUGUGCUGACAGAGUGAGAUCCACGGGGGCUGUGAGUGAAUUUGGGUGUGAGAAAGAGAAUUUCUCUCCAUGGUGCUGCUUGUGCAGCUCUUGCAGGGUGUGGCUGGGCACAUCCCUGUCACCUGGAAUGGGAGGACAGCGUUCCCUGUGGUGCAGGUUUCAUCACACUGGGUUUGUGUUUAUUUCUUGAUUCACCUGUUGUAAACCCCAGGCCCUGGCUGGGUGUGUGGAGCUGCCUGUGAGGGAGCUCCAGCAAGUGUUGGUGAUUGCAGGGGGUGUCCCCACAGACACCCCAAGCUGUGCAGGCAGGAGAGCUCCCUUGUUCACUAAAUGCUCUGCUUUCCACCUUAAAGUGCUUCAUAGGGAGCUGUUCCCUGGGGACCUCAGUGCCACCACCUGCAGCAACCCCCGGACUGCACAGGGACUUCCCAGGGAACUCCCUCCUCUCUCCUCAUUCCCCUGCUCCCUCCCUCCCUUCUCCUGCUCACAGUCACUGUGACCCAGCUGAACUCACCUGGGCUUUGAUAAUGAGAAACCUGGAACCCAGCUCUCUGGCAUUCACAUUCCCUGAACAUGAUCCCUUCACCCGGGGUUUUUCUCCUGGGAAGCUGAAAGGCAGCGA